rnacentral:rRNA from 1 species
GACGAACGCUGGCGGCGUGCUUAACACAUGCAAGUCGAACGGAAAGGCCCUGCUUGCAGGGUACUCGAGUGGCGAACGGGUGAGUAACACGUGGGUGAUCUGCCCUGCACUUCGGGGUAAGCUUGGGAAACUGGGUCUAAUACCGGAUAGGAACCAUCGUUAGUGUAGUGGUUGGAAAGUUUUUUCGGUGUAGGAUGAGCUCGCGGCCUAUCAGCUUGUUGGUGGGGUAAUGGCCUACCAAGGCGGCGACGGGUAGCCGGCCUGAGAGGGUGUACGGCCACAUUGGGACUGAGAUACGGCCCAGACUCCUACGGGAGGCAGCAGGGGGGAAGAUUGCACAAUGGGCGCAAGCCUGAUGCAGCGACGCCGCGGGGGGGAUGAAGGCCUUCGGGUUGUAAACUCCUUUCGCUAGGGACGAAGCUUUUUGUGACGGUACCUAGAUAAGAAGCACCGGCUAACUACGUG